UUGUAUAUAAACAUUCAGGUGCCAGUCUUUAUGGGCAAAUGAGAGGUACUGAAAAUUACCGAAGCUAGGAAAAGCAGUGGUUCAAAUACCUCAGCCAAAAGAAAUAUAUCUUGGGUUUAAUGGCCUAAAGGGGAAUAUAUACAUGAUAAUUUUCUAGGCCACAAGGAGAAAAAGGGCUCUUUAAUCUAGUUUAGGAGAAUAAGGUGAAUAACUGGUGAAAACAGAAACACAAUGCCUAGUGCCAGGUAAAAUGUACAUUUUGAUCUAGUUUACUUUUGGAGAGUGAAAUAAUUUACCUGGUAAAAACAGAAAGAUAGCACCUAGUGCCAGGUAAGAGUUAAAAGUAAUAUAAAAGAUCAGGUAAGUCUGGAUCCAUGUUUUUGUGGGUCCUGAAACUUAUUCAACUUCUGAGGAUCCUCUUUUAGAAAAAUUAUCUCAAGUUAUAAAUAUGAAGUUGAACAAAAGACCUUGGCAGAUGCCUAUUUAAAAAGGGGAACUAAAACUUAUAUGCCAUUGUCUUUACUAUAAAUCUUCCUCUACAGGCUGGAAACCUGGAAAUCUCUUAAUGAGGAAGGAAAGAAUCUAUGAGAAAAUGUGACUGUUAGAGAUGCAGAUCCUUCUUUCAUCUUUUCAUCAAUAGAGAUGUGCACCAACCAGAAUCUCUCUUCAUGCUUGAUGGCCCAGAAUAACAGAUCCUCUAGGAUAACAGAUCCUCCGUUCCCAGUGGCUUAGUCCUACUUAAUUUCUCACUGAUACUACAUGUCCAGUGGGCCUGAGACCUCUGUAUUACUUGUACCCAGCAAGACAAAUUUUGGCCUGCAUUUAAUCCCAUGGAAGAAUCAUUCCCCUAACCACACUCCUGCUGCCUCAUAAAGGAGUAUUCUGAGAGUUAAUCAUGCAGAGUCUCCCCUACAACGGCUGGAGGAAGUAAGAGAAAACCUUUGUCAGGUGUCUACUAGUUCAAGAACUAUGGAUGCAUGCUCUCUACCUUUUCCUCAUUUUAUCCUCAAAAAUCCAUGGAAAGGUAGGUACUAGGAUCCCCAUGUCUUAGCUGAAAAAACAGACUUAGAGUUAUUUAGUAAUUUUCAAAAUGCAAUGCAGGUAGCAAAGGACCUGUUGCC
rnacentral:lncRNA from 1 species